GAUGAACGCUGGCGGCGUGCCUAAUACAUGCAAGUCGAGCGAACAGACGAGGAGCUUGCUCCUCUGACGUUAGCGGCGGACGGGUGAGUAACACGUGGAUAACCUACCUAUAAGACUGGGAUAACUUCGGGAAACCGGAGCUAAUACCGGAUAAUAUAUUGAACCGCAUGGUUCAAUAGUGAAAGACGGUUUUGCUGUCACUUAUAGAUGGAUCCGCGCCGCAUUAGCUAGUUGGUAAGGUAACGGCUUACCAAGGCAACGAUGCGUAGCCGACCUGAGAGGGUGAUCAGCCACACUGGAACUGAGACACGGUCCAGACUCCUACGGGAGGCAGCAGUCGGGAAUCUUCCGCAAUGGGCGAAAGCCUGACGGAGCAACGCCGCGUGAGUGAUGAAGGUCUUCGGAUCGUAAAACUCUUUUAUUAGGGAAGAACAAAUGUGUAAGUAACUAUGCACGUCUUGACGGUACCCAAUCAGAAAGCCACGGCUAACUACGUG
rnacentral:rRNA from 1 species